GAUAGUGGUUUUAGAACCUUUGUAGUACACAUGGAAUUCUAUUUGAUCUGGAUUCUUUGCCUAGCUUAUAUUGGUUAAUAUGUGUUCACUUAUUUUAUAGCAAAGUACUGUUUCUCAAGGUAAGUGAUAUGGAAAACAGUGUAAAAAGUGAUUGAGGAAACAGGCUAAGUAGGGCUACUUGUAGAACAUUCUCCUAAAUCUUGCAAACAAUUCUAUCUAGGAUUAGAGAUG